UUCAUCUGUAUAAAAUUGCGACCUCGUG
rnacentral:sRNA from 1 species